rnacentral:rRNA from 1 species
UGGGGAAUAUUGGACAAUGGGCGCAAGCCUGAUCCAGCCAUGCCGCGUGAGUGAUGAAGGCCUUAGGGUUGUAAAGCUCUUUCGCCUGGGAACAAGACCAGCUAAUAUCUGGUUAAUUUGAGGGUACCAGGAUAAGAAGCACCGGCUAACUCC